GCGGGUGUAGCUCAACGGUAGAGCAGAAGCCUUCCAAGCUCAUGACGAGGGUUCGAUUCCCUUCACCCGCUCCA
rnacentral:tRNA from 1 species